CUUACCAAUUGAUACGUUCAUAGUAAACUUCUAAUAGUUCGAAGCUAGAAAAAUGCUGAGCCGAAGUUCUUUCACACUGCUGCUCAUUGGCUUGAUGGUAUCCGAGUUCUUAAUCGGGGAUGUGAGCGGAGCACCACCCGGGAGGAACGUAAACGAAAAAGACAUGUAUGGAGAGACAGCUCUGCAUAGAGCUGCUUUUGCUGGCAAAGUGAAGGAAGCUGAAGAC